CCCUUAGAUGUUCUGGGCCGCACGCGCGCUACACUGACGGAUUCAACGAGCUUACAACCCUGGCCGAAAGGUCUGGGUAAUCUCCAAAAUCCGUCGUGAUGGGGAUAGAUUAUUGCAAUUAUUAAUCUUCAACGAGGAAUGCCUAGUAAGCGCAAGUCAUCAGCUUGCGUUGAUUACGUCCCUGCCCUUUGUACACACCGCCCGUCGCUCCUACCGAUUGAAUGGUCCGGUGAAGCGUUUGGACUAUGGUUUUCUGAUGGUCCGCCGUUGGAUUACCGUGGGAAGUUCGUUAAACCUUAUCAUUUAGAGGAAGGAGAAGUCGUAACA
rnacentral:rRNA from 1 species